AACGAACGCUGGCGGCAGGCCUAACACAUGCAAGUCGAGCGCGCCCUUCGGGGUGAGCGGCGGAAGGGUGAGUAACGCGUGGGAACGUGCCCUUUUCUACGGAAUAGCCUCGGGAAACUGAGAGUAAUACCGCAUACGCCCUCGGGGGGAAAGAUUUCACGGAAAAGGAUCGGCCCGCGUUGGAUUAGGUAGUUGGUGGGGUAAUGGCCUACCAAGCCGACGAUCCAUAGCUGGUUUGAGAGGAUGAUCAGCCACACUGGGACUGAGACACGGCCCAGACUCCUACGGGAGGCAGCAGUGGGGAAUCUGAGACAAUGGGGGCAACCCUGAUCUAGCCAUGCCGCGUGAGUGAUGAAGGCCUUAGGGUUGUAAAGCUCUUUCAGCUGGGAAGAUAAUGACGGUACCAGCAGAAGAAGCCCCGGCUAACUCCGUG
rnacentral:rRNA from 1 species